GUGAAUUAAACAUGCUUGGUGUCUUCGCUUCGGCAAGGCCCUUGCUUAAAUCAACAUCCUAACACCUGUGAACUGUAAGACGUAUGAUGAGGUCUUUGGCCAAGUCAUCGUCUGCCCAUUUUAACAAACAAUUAAUGUAACAAACGUAGUCUUAUUAUAACCUAAUA
rnacentral:misc_RNA from 1 species